UACGACUCUUGACAACGGAUAUCUCGGCUCUCGCAUCGAUGAAGAACGUAGCGAAAUGCGAUACUUGGUGUGAAUUGCAGAAUCCCGUGAACCAUCGAGUCUUUGAACGCAAGUUGCGCCCGAAGCCAUUAGGCUGAGGGCACGUCUGCCUGGGUGUCACAC
rnacentral:rRNA from 1 species